rnacentral:rRNA from 1 species
UACAGAGGGGGCAAGCGUUGUUCGGAAUUACUGGGCGUAAAGGGCGCGUAGGCGGCCUGCUAAGUCGAACGUGAAAUCCCCGGGCUCAACCCGGGAACUGCGUCCGAGACUGAAAGGCUUGAAUCCGGGAGAGGGAUGUGGAAUUCCAGGUGUAGCGGUGAAAUGCGUAGAUAUCUGGAGGAACAUCGGUGGCGAAGGCGGCAUCCUGGACCGGUAUUGACGCUGAGGCGAGAAAGCCAGGGGAGCAAACGGG